GUGGGGAAUAUUGCACAAUGGGCGCAAGCCUGAUGCAGCAACGCCGCGUGAGGGAUGACGGCCUUCGGGUUGUAAACCUCUUUUAGUAGGGAAGAAGCGAAAGUGACGGUACCUGCAGAAAAAGCACCGGCUAACUACGUGCCAGCAGCCGCGGUAAUACGUAGGGUGCAAGCGUUGUCCGGAAUUAUUGGGCGUAAAGAGCUCGUAGGCGGCUUGUCGCGUCUGCUGGGAAAUCCCGGGGCGCAACCCCGGGCCUGCAGUGGGUACGGGCAGGCUAGAGUGCGGUAGGGGAGAUUGGAAUUCCUGGUGUAGCGGUGGAAUGCGCAGAUAUCAGGAGGAACACCGAUGGCGAAGGCAGAUCUCUGGGCCGCUACUGACGCUGAGGAGCGAAAGCAUGGGGAGCGAACAGGAUUAGAUACCCUUGUAGUCC
rnacentral:rRNA from 1 species